rnacentral:rRNA from 1 species
ACGGGGUGCAGCAGGCGCGAAAACUUUACAAUGCGGGAAACCGUGAUAAGGGGACACCGAGUGCCAGCAUCAUAUGUUGGCUGUCCAGAUGUGUAAAAUACAUCUGUUAGCAAGGGCCGGGCAAGACCGGUGCCAGCCGCCGCGGUAACACCGGCGGCCCGAGUGGUGAUCGUGAUUAUUGGGUCUAAAGGGUCCGUAGCCGGUUUGGUCAGUCCUCCGGGAAAUCUGACGGCUCAACCGUUAGGCUUUCGGUGGAUACUGCCAGACUUGGAACCGGGAGAGGUAAGAGGUACUACAGGGGUAGGAGUGAAAUCUUGUAAUCCCUGUGAGACCACCUGUGGCGAAGGCGUCUUACCAGAACGGGUUCGACGGUGAGGGACGAAAGCUGGGGGCACGAACCGGAUUAGAUACCCGGGUAGUCCCAGCCGUAAACGAUGCUCGCUAGGUGUCAGGCAUGGCGCGACCGUGUCUGGUGCCGCAGGGAAGCCGUGAAGCGAGCCACCUGGGAAGUACGGCCGCAAGGCUGAAACUUAAAGGAAUUGGCGGGGGAGCAC